CUACGGGUCGCUGCAGUGGGGAAUAUUGCACAAUGGAGGAAACUCUGAUGCAGCAACGCCGCGUGGAGGAUGACACUUUUCGGAGCGUAAACUCCUUUUAUAUAGGAAGAAGAUGACGGUACUAUAUGAAUAAGCGCCGGCUAACUCCGUGCCAGCAGCCGCGGUAAUAAGGAGGGCGCAAGCGUUACUCGGAAUCACUGGGCGUAAAGAGCGUGUAGGCGGAUUAAAAAGUCAGAAGUGAAAUCCUAUAGCUUAACUAUAGAACUGCUUCUGAAACUCUUAAUCUAGAAUAUGGGAGAGGUAGAUGGAAUUUCUGGUGUAGGGGUAAAAUCUGUAGAGAUCAGAAGGAAUACCGAUUGCGAAGGCGAUCUACUAGAACAUUAUUGACGCUGAGACGCGAAAGCGUGGGGAGCAAACAGGAUUAGAUACCCUGGUAGUC
rnacentral:rRNA from 1 species